rnacentral:lncRNA from 1 species
GACAUCUUAGCUUUUCAACAAGUGCUCAUAAGGACAUGUGGACUGGAGACCUGGCCUUUGAUCUCCACUAGGAGCUAGAUGACAGUUCCGACCUGUUUCUGUAGAAGAAAGGAUCAGUGUCCCGUGUGAACUGAGAGAGGGAGAAUGGAAGAGCUUCGGAUCAAAGCUGUUUGCAUUGGAAACCGCAAUGCACACCAUGACAGGAACAAGAGGACAACCCUUCUUCCUUGGCUUUUAAGCCCAUUUCCCUCACCACUGAGGUAAAGAGAGUGCACUGGCAGAAUAUACAUGGAUCAGG